UUGCACUUAUUUAUUGUAACGGAGGGUCUCUAAACGAGCUUGAAGCAAUCUGUCAUCUCAAGAAUUGGGGUUAUUGGAUUUGGGGGUUUGGGGCUCCUUGAAAUCUGGUAAAAUUACCUGAAUUAGACGCUUCAUCACUCUUCACUCGCCCCCAAAUUCCAACAAUACUCGAUUCAAUCCAAAAUGGAGCAAAAUCCCAGACCCAAAACAAUCCUCGAAACAUGCGGCGAAGAAAUCACCAGAAUCGUAACCCCAGUUUCGAUAUGUAUGCUAUCGGUCGUAAUUCUGGUAUCUGUCCUCAACAGAGGUUCCUCCUUGGACGACGGCCUCGAGUUUGCAUCCAUGGCCACCAUGGCCUACUCCGAGAGCAGCUCAGACUCCAUCUGGGACAAGCUCAAAGGCGCCCUCUUGAACUCCCUCGUCUUCGUUGCUGUUGUCACGGCUGCCACUUUCCUAAUGGUGCUCCUCUUCUACCUCAAAUGCACUAAAUUCUUGAAAUAUUACAUGGCUUUCUCUUCCCUCCUCGUUUUGGGAUUCAUGGGAGGCGAGAUUGCCAUUUUCUUGAUCAAAGCUUCAAGCUUUCCCAUUGAUUGCUUUACAUUUGCUGUAGCCUUGUAUAAUUUCACUGUUGUUGGUGUUAUGGCUGUGUUCAUGUCAAGAAUGGCUAUUUUUAUCACUCAAGCUUACCUGGUUGUGAUUGGGGUGUUGGUUGCUUACUGGUUUACCUUGUUGCCCGAGUGGACGACGUGGGGGCUCUUGGUUGCUAUGUCACUGUAUGAUCUAGCUGCCGUGUUGUUGCCUGGGGGUCCGUUGAGGCUCUUGGUGGAGCUUGCCAUGGAUAGAGAUGAAGAUAUCCCUGCUCUUGUUUAUGAGGCGCGCCCGGUUAUUAGUGAUGCUGGUUUGGGUGAUGGUGUGGUGAGGAGAAGGGUUUGGAGAGAGGGAAGGGGCGAUUUCGAUGAAAAUCAAAGGCUUAGGUCUGAUCGUGUUCCGGAUUCUAGUCUGAGGAGUUACUUAUAUGGUGAGAGCGAGAGUGAGAGGAAUAUUGUUGAUGCUGAAAAUGGAAGAGCAUUAGGAGGGGAUUCUGAGCUUGCUGCUCCUCUCAUGCAACAUAUUAAUAUUCGUAUGAAUUCUUUGGAGAACGCUGCUUCAAGUGACAAUUUGGCGCUUGAAGGAAUUGGCUUGGGUUCCUCUGGUGCGAUCAAGCUUGGACUUGGCGAUUUUAUCUUUUACAGUGUUUUGGUUGGAAGAGCUGCUAUGUACGACUUCAUGACGGUGUAUGCGUGCUACCUUGCUGUCAUAGCUGGUCUUGGCAUGCAGCAAGUUGUUUGUGGCAUAUGGACUUCCUGAUCAGUCGGUGAUGCAACUGUUUGAAUGUUUUCUAGUAUGUGAAGUCAUUUUUCUCCCUUCAUCUGGUGAGAUUUUCGACCACAUUUUCAAAUACUAUUUUGAACAUCUAUCACCUGACUUCCUGUUACUGAUGCUAUCUAUAUAAAUUUAUUAAAGAACUGAAACAAAAGAAGAUAAGAAUCAGUGCUGAAAAUAUGAAAUACACUAAGAGGCCCUUAUCUUGAUUGUCCAGUAAAUGUUUCUAUUGCUUCAGUUUCAAUCCUAAUCCUACUUUUGCACGAGUACAUCAUUUUAUUGGCUGUUUUGAACUGCUUUGAUAACUGCAUCACUGUUUCCAAGUAUUUUUAGCAGCAGAGUAUGCAAUUAUGCAUAAUUUACCACUUGUAACUUUAUUGCAUUAAAUGCCAUGGCUUGCACUUUCAGAAUCAUGUGGUUGGGGCACUUCUAGCACCAACUACCCUUUGCAAAAUGUUAUAUAUACCCUUUUUGCAUUAAAUGCUAUAAAUGUUGUGAAAAGUUCAAUCUGGGUACUGAGGACCAGUAGGGUCGUGGCGUCGUGCGCAGUGUGUGUAAUUCGAGGCACGUUCUUCUUAAGGAGGACCAUUUCUCUUGUUUAUUUUGCUCAUGUUUCAGUCAAUGAAGUAUAUAAAUGCUGUAUGAAAAUCUAUUGUUUAAGCAUACCAUAUGCUCAAUUAGCAUAUGUAGCUUGGGUUUUUCUUAUUAUAAAUGACCAGUUCCAUUACCAGGGAGCUGCGAUACAAGAAAUUUUAUGGUCCCAUGCACAUUCUUUUACCAAAUUUUAUGGUGAUAAUAUCUUCCUGGUGUGAAUGGUCGGGAGUCCCUCUUGAUAUAUCUUCCUUGACAUUGAAAUGUAACGGUCAAUCUAGGACAUGGUUAACAGAAUCACAAAGUGCUGGAUCACUCUCAUCCAUGAAUUAGUUUGACAUACAUUGAGAGUCGUUUGCAUGUUUUCUGGUGAUAUUAAUGUGCAUUAAAUAUAGUAGUAGUAGCUUUUUUUUUAUCAUACUCAGAAAUGCUUCAAAAGGCAGGGCUGCUGAAAUUGCUCUAGACACGUAUUGCAGAAGACUGAUAAUUGUGGCAUGGCGAUGCACAGACUUAAGUUCCAGUAUGGUAUGGAACAAUCCAAUUUGAGAAAACUAAGAGUGAAAACUGUGGAACUUUUGCUUGCUUUAAGAGUGCCGCUAAGA